UCAUCUGGUAGGCUAAUCCUUACCUGUUCCCCCUUUUGGAGGGCAGAAUAGAAUGUGGUGAUUGGAGCUCGCAUGAUUCGUGAUUAAUGGCUCUACAUGAUCAUGACUUGCAAGACCCUGAUUGCUCCUUAUACAU
ensembl:snoRNA U8 U8 small nucleolar RNA